ACUAGAGGGUUUCUGUUAAUCAUUGUCUCACCCACGUGGCCAGGUGGGUACUAGAGGGUUUCUGUUAAUCACUGUCUCACCCACGUGGCCAGGUAGGUACUAGAGGGUUUCUGUUAAUCAUUGUCUCACCCACGUGGCCAGGUAGGUACUAGAGGGUUUCUGUUAAUCAUUGUCUCACCCACGUGGCCAGGUAGGUACUAGAGGGUUUCUGUUAAUCUUUGUCUCACCCACGUGGCCAGGUAGGUACUAGAGGGUUUCUGUUAAUCUUUGUCUCACCCACAUGGCCAGGUUGGUACUAGAGGGUUUCUGUUAUUCUUUGUCUCACCCACAUGGCCAGGUAGGUACUAGAGGGUUUCUGUUAAUCACUGUCUCACCCACGUGACCAGGUAGGUACUAGAGGGUUUCUGUUAAUCAUUGUCUCACCCACGUGGCCAGGUAGGUACUAGAGGGUUUCUGUUAAUCACUGUCUCACCCACAUGGCCAGGUAGGUACUAGAGGGUUUCUGUUAAUCAUUGUCUCACCCACGUGGCCAGGUGGGUACUAGAGGGUUUCUGUUAAUCAUUGUCUCACCCACGUGGCCAGGUAGGUACUAGAGGGUUUCUGUUAAUCACUGUCUCACCCACGUGGCCAGGUAGGUACUAGAGGGUUUCUGUUAAUCAUUGUCUCACCCACGUGGCCAG